ACUCCUACGGGAGGCAGCAGUGGGGAAUUUUGGACAAUGGGGGAAACCCUGAUCCAGCCAUCCCGCGUGUGCGAUGAAGGCCUUCGGGUUGUAAAGCACUUUUGGCAGGAAAGAAACGUCGUGGGUUAAUACCCCGCGAAACUGAC
rnacentral:rRNA from 1 species